ensembl:piRNA 21ur-7249 ncRNA
UUUAACCUAAGCAGGAGUGAA